GUUUCUCUUCAUGCUUGGUUUCCUACAGAGCUUUCUGGACAUGGGCACAGGCCUUCUGUUAGCUCCUAUGACUGCUGUGCAAGGUGAUUGCAUGGGGGAACAGAUUACCCAGAGCAGAUGUGGAUUCUACAGCCCAGUUUUUUCAAAAUCCUGAGAAACCUGAUCUGAAUUCAACGUUAACCCUGCUUUGUGGACAAGACUGGGUGAAAUGACCUCCUGAGGUUCCUUCCAACCUAAAGAUCUUCAUAGCAGAUUUUACAUCCCAGUGAUUUGAGAAGUUGCAUUCAAAACAAGGGACAUACGCUCCUCCCAGAACAGAAUUUUUGUCUAUGGUGUUUUAAGAAAAAACAACCAGUUGCUCCAUCUGUCAGUAAACCUCUUCCAAGAAGAAGGAAAUAUCAACACAACACAAAAUGUGAUUGCCCUUUGAAAGCAAAAAAUACCAGGCAGUGUAACCUUUAGAUGCAGCACAUAAUGGGAGACAAUCAUCUGACAAAAAACAGAAGAGAGUUUGCAACUCUGACAUUUAUUUCCCCGUGAUUUAAAAGAAUGCACUGCUCAGCAUACACAGCUGCAGCCCUGCUUGUCCUGCUUUGUAACAGCCUUGCCCUGCUGGAACCACCUGAUGAUAGCAAAUUUCAGUCCUCUGGGUCACCUGCUCUACUGGGAUGGAGAAGCUAUCCGUAUUUUUGCAUGUAACACCAUCAGAGGUCCCUGACAUUUAAAUACAGACAACUCAUGAGGAUCCAGCCUUGGAGGAUGACCUUGUUGAACGCAGGUGGGAAUGGUGAGGACUUGCACCACUCCAAUGCUUUACUGAGUUUCAGUGGGAAAGUGGGAAGAAACAGUGAUGGGACUCUCAGUAAGGCCACAUAUGCAAGGUGCAGUCGAGACACCAGGUUGGGUUCUUUAGAACUGGCUCAGGAAAGGGAGCUUGCUGGCAUGCACUGUGCUCCCGCUGGUGUGCUCUAGAAAGUAUCUGGCCAUCAGGAGAGUUUCUCCUGAGCAGCAGAUGAUGUGAUGGAAAAAAAUAACAACUAAUGUUUUCAAUGGAGUGAAAAAGGCAAAGUGUGGUGGCAAUAAAAUAAAACCUUUGAACUCUGUAAUCGUGAAGCAAGCUACAUUUUUCACCGUGAGCAAAGAGCACGGCUCAAGGUUCACUUUGAAGCUAACUUCUCCCUUCUUUUCUUUUUUUUUCCCUUCCUUCCUUUUAACCUAGCUUAAACUUCAGGCUCACAGUAUCUGACAGUGUUUUUCUAAAUAAUGAAAGAGAGCCAUGCUAUCCAAGGCACUCCUGACGGGCAGUGUGAAGACAGACCUUCCUUCACACUGUGGCUUUUCUACCUAAACAGAUGGAAGUUCCCCUCCCUCCUGCUGCUUUCCAGCACUCCUUACAUCCUGCCCCCACAGGGAGCAGCUGAAUCCUGGCUUUUUACCAAGCUGGCCAAGGGCCGGAGGUGCUGUGCUGCCCUUCCUCUUCCAACCAUGGUGCCUGACUGCUUGUGCAGGCUGCCAGCCCUACAUCCCAGGUCUGUUUUGCUGCGAGGAGGGAUUGAGAAUCAAUGGCAGCAAGGAACAGAAUGGCAGCAAAACAGGGGGCAAAAGAAGAGGAUCCAUACUGGAAGGGAGGUGGGAUGGAACUGGGACUUGUUCCUGGGAAGAUUCUUUUCUUCCUUAGAUCAGACAGCAUCUGCUUCUUUAUUUUCUCUACCCUCAGCGUGAUGCUUCUGGUUUACAUGAGGUUCUCCUCAUUUAUUUGGGCUGUGGUAGCACAUAGAGGCUGAGCCUGGGGAUGGGAUGCUUCUGUGCAAGGUGCCUCCUCACCCUACCCCCAGUACUAGCCCUGAGCAUGAGUUUGUUAUAAUUGUGGCACAUCCAGUGAUGGCUUUGCCUAAAAUUGCUCAUCUUGCUCGCUCAGCACAUCUGCACUUUGACAUAGUUUUAAUUACUGAUACAAUUGGUGGCUUUAUUUCAAACGUGGGUAAUUUCAUUACCAGUUUUUAUACACCUUUUUAGUUCUUUGCCCAUGAGUUUCUCAAAGCAAAAUCAAAUGAAUCACUGACAUCAUCACUGUUCUUUCCUGAAAAUGGUUAUAAGGGAUGUGGCUUAAAACCUCCGGAGAUAUCAAGUAUGAUUUCAAUAGAUGUUUUUCUUAGAACAUACUGUACUACAACAUUAUCCACCUAUCACAUAACAGCCAUAACAAUCUUCCAAAAAAUAUAUAUUUUUAAGUAUGUACCCAUUUUUUCCAAUGCUAAAUUGUUAGGGCCCAAAAUAUUCAUCGCUCUGGGUGCAAAAAUUCAGAUAUACAUUUUUUUCCCCACUGGCAGUGGGCUUCUCAUACCGAGUGCUCAUCUUUCAUUCUUAAAACAUUGAUUUCUUUUUGAGCAACUGAAAACCACGUAGAUCUCCUAUGUAAAAAGGAAAAGACUAAAGCUGUUGUUGCAAUGGAUGGAGACAGAACGGGAGACCUUCUGAUGUGCACAGGCACAUCUUAGCACAGCACCACGCCAAACAAGUUAAUGGGCAACGUAUACAGUUCAUCCUAUGUCCAUAGUUGCUUUGAUAGCAUUUUGUGGAUAAGUGGAUUCUUAUAUUUUCUAUAAAUGGAUUCUUAUAUUUUCUAUAGAAGCAUUUUCUUGACAUAGCAAAAUUUCAUAGGUAAGUGAUGCUCCGUAAACACAUUUUACAUUGGCAUCUUACAGAGAAGCAGUGUUACAACUAAGGCAGCGGCCUUGACUCACGGGGUUAUGUGAGUGCAGUGGAAAAAAAGUUUGAAUCGUGGAAUGACAGAACAGUUUGGGUUGGAAGGGACCUCAAAGCCCUCCCAGCUCCAACCCCGUGCCAUGGGCAGGGCUGCCCCCCACCAGCUCAGCUGCCCAGGGCUGCAUCCAACCUGGCUUUGAGCACCUCCAGGGAUGGGGCACCACAGCUUCUCUGGGCAGCUGUGCCAGGGCCUCACCGUCCUGUGAGUAAAGAAUUCCCCCCCUUUAGAACUUUUGAUUUUUUUUUUUUUAAUUAUUAUUCCCAACAAACAAUCAGUGGGAAUGCUGCAAAUUCCCGAGCUUCGUUUCUAAUGGUAAUCACCAACUUUCCUUAACAUUUCUCCUUGAAGAAGUUUCUUUUGCACGCAGCCAAAGUGACGCUCUCCCCGGAGCUGGGUGCUCGGGGCCAUUUGGCUCCACAGCGUGCUGGCACGCAGUGAAGUUUUGAUUCCGGCUGUUUUAAUUAAAGCCUAUUUCCAUAGGAUUACUCCAGCGUGGAUCAGCUCCACGGUUCUGUUUGUUUUAAUAAACUCUCAGAGCUCUCCUCCUUCUAGAGAGAGAUUGUGCUGCAAACAAGGCAGCCCUGCGGUUCGUAGCAGAAACAUGGAAAUGCUGCCGUAAAAGAUGAAAAAAAAAAAGAAAAAAAAAAAAAGCUUUGAUGGAAUUCAUUACAAUCUAUGGACGAACAGAAACAACCUACAGCUCUAAGGCAGAUGGGCCGGCACAGGUGGGCAUGCAGCGGAGCGGGACGCCGGUACGUACCUGCAGGCAGCGCGGUGCCACGUCUCCCGGCCCGCUCGCUCCGCGGGACCUUUAUAGCGCUUUCCGGGGGCUAAAAAUAAACUUUAGGGGACGGCUAAGAGCUCGGGAGGGGGCGGCCGCGGGCUCUUACAGCGAUGCUCGAGCCACGCUCCGGCUCGGGGCCGGAGCUGCGCGGCUUCUGGGCGGUGUCGGCUGUCCUCCGCCCCCCGGGCCAUCCCCCACCUGCCGCGCCCGCGGCCCCGCGUGGCUGCCCCUCGCCCUCCUCCUCCUCCCUCCGUCUCGCAACCCGCCGGGAUUGGCUGCGCUUGUGCUGGGGCGGCCCGGCUGUGGUAGGGAGGAGAAGCCCCAAGGCAUGCUUUUUUAGGCUGCGGUAAGUAAAAAUUAAUAAAUAAAUAAAUAAAUAGAAGAAAAGAGAAAAAAAAAAAAAAAAAAAGAAAAAACCAAGUAUCCAAAGCCUAAGCACGCACAUUCGGAGCUGCUCAACCAGUUGCAACUUCCCCGCCGGCCCGAAGGGGGGAGGGACGGGCA
rnacentral:lncRNA from 1 species